UUGGAAUGUCUAAAUUGAGACGCUGGCUGGUCGGACCCGGUUUCUGUUGUAUUUGUCAGUUUAAUUUCGCUAAAUGAAGUGGUGUUGCUGCAGCAGAAAUAACAAUGCGAAAUUAUUGCUAAACCUGUUUAAAUAUUUCAUUUAAUUGCCGUAUCUUUUGCAUUUUUCCACUGCGCAAGCCCACACACAAUACAACCAUAUUAAAUAUGGUUGAAAGAGGAGAGGUUGCUGCAGUACGAGGUACGCCUUCGCCUUCGGAUAUUAUUAGCUAGCGAGGAAUUAGUUGCCGCUUGGUCGCGCGAACUCCAACUGGGGAUAUAGCUCAGUGGUAGAGCAUUCGACUGCAGAUCGAGAGGUCCCCGGUUCAAACCCGGGUGUCCCCUUGGUAAACCUUUUUGCUGCUCCCCAGUUCAAAUAUAAAUAACAAAAAUAAUUAGCUCAUGGGGCCUUUGUUGGAGCUCGCAGCCACUCUUGGGGAUAUAGCUCAGUGGUAGAGCAUUCGACUGCAGAUCGAGAGGUCCCCGGUUCAAACCCGGGUGUCCCCUAGGUAAACUUUUUUCCCAUCUGCCUAAUAUUAUGGUCUAACUUUUGCUACAUUUCAAAUACAGUACUUAUGAUUUCUUUUAUGUUUAUGUUAUUUUAUGUAACUGAAUUAAUUGUGCCCUUUUUAAUGUAACAUCUUUUGACUCAAAUUCUUCUUGCCUAAAUACCUGUACUAAAAUAUAUUUCUAUUUGGCUA